rnacentral:rRNA from 1 species
CGUGAAAUUGUUGAAAGGGAAGCAGUUAUGACCAGACUUGGGCUUGGUUAAUCAUCUGGGGUUCUCCCCAGUGCACUUUUCCAGUCCAGGCCAGCAUCAGUUUUCCCCGGGGGAUAAAGGCGGCGGGAAUGUGGCUCUCUUCGGGGAGUGUUAUAGCCCACCGUGUAAUACCCUGGGGGGGACUGAGGUUCGCGCAUCUGCAAGGAUGCUGGCGUAAUGGUCAUCAACGACCCGUCUUGAAACACGG